GGCAGAUGAUGUCUGCUUUCACGAUGGUCUUCAGAUACCCAUACGGGCACUGCUGAGAAAGCCAUUUGGUAAAAGGCUGGAAA